UGCUUAAAUGUCCGGUAUUUUUCCGUUUUUGCUAAUUGUGCUUAAGUUGACCGGAAAUUCUAAUUUUAAUUAAUUUGAAUUAUCUGAGAUAAUUAUUUGCAUUAUUAAUUACAAGGAAAAUUUUGGAAAUACAAAUUAGGACAUUUAGAGGUUAAAUGAGCUUAAAUGAGAGAGGAGGUGUGAAUUUCAAUUUUUGGGGGUGCAUGAAGAGGGUGUAACAUUUGGCUGGUUGAUUUAUUUUGGGAGAAAUAUACUUACGGUUAAGAGAAAAAAAAUGCUGACUUCAAUUAGAAAUGGAAAAGUGAUGCACGACCUGUUUUGUUUUUAAGAAAAAAUAUGUUGCUGGAUUCAUUAUUUGAAAAGGGCACGCUGAUUCAAUUUAAAGAAAAAAAGCAGAUGGCCCAUGGAAUGAGAAAAAAAGGGCAGUGGUCAUUGAAGGAAGUUGUGGCAGCUUCCAGCCACACG
rnacentral:lncRNA from 1 species